rnacentral:rRNA from 1 species
UGGGGAAUUUUGGACAAUGGGCGAAAGCCUGAUCCAGCAAUGCCGCGUGUGUGAAGAAGGCCUUCGGGUUGUAAAGCACUUUUGUCCGGAAAGAAAUCCUUGGCUCUAAUACAGUCGGGGGAUGACGGUACCGGAAGAAUAAGCACCGGCUAACUACGUGCCAGCAGCCGCGGUAAUACGUAGGGUGCAAGCGUUAAUCGGAAUUACUGGGCGUAAAGCGUGCGCAGGCGGUUUGCUAAGACCGAUGUGAAAUCCCCGGGCUCAACCUGGGAACUGCAUUGGUGACUGGCAGGCUAGAGUAUGGCAGAGGGGGGUAGAAUUCCACGUGUAGCAGUGAAAUGCGUAGAGAUGUGGAGGAAUACCGAUGGCGAAGGCAGCCCCCUGGGCCAAUACUGACGCUCAUGCACGAAAGCGUGGGGAGCAAACAGGAUUAGAUACCCUGGUAGUCCACG